rfam:Tessaracoccus bendigoensis DSM 12906 genome assembly, contig: EK12DRAFT_scaffold00154.154
GACCUAGUCGUGGAGAGCACACGAGUGAGAAUGCAGGCAUGAGUAGCGAAAGACGGGUGAGAAACCCGUCCGCCGAAUAUCCAAGGGUUCCAGGGUCAAGCUAAUCUGCCCUGGGUAAGUCGGGACCUAAGGCGAGGCCGACAGGCGUAGUCGAUGGACAACGGGUUGAUAUUCCCGUACCGGCGAAAUAUCGUCCGUGCUGAAUCGAGUGAUGCUGAGCAUGCGAGGUCUGGUGAUGUCUUCGGAUUGAUCCUGGCUGAGUCUGUGACCCAAUCUCGUAUUAGGCAAGCUGCGGAGGGACGCAGGAAGGUAGCUCUUCUCGGUUAUGGUUAUACCGGGUCAAGUGUGUAGGGUGGAGUGUAGGUAAAUCCGCGCUCUGUGUGCCUGAGACAUGAUGUGUCGUCAGAUUACUGACGUUAGAGUGAUCCUAUGCUGCCUAGAAAAGCUUCGUUAGCGAGAUAUUAGCCGCCCGUACCCCAAACCGACACAGGUGGAUAGGUAGAGAAUACUAAGGCGAUCGAGAGAAUCGUGGUGAAGGAACUCGGCAAAAUACCCCCGUAACUUCGGGAUAAGGGGGACCUGAUACGUAUAGCAUUUACUGUGAAAGCGUUGAGGGUCGCAGAGACCAGGCCCAAGCGACUGUUUACUAAAAACACAGGUCCGUGCUAAGUCGUAAGACGAUGUAUACGGACUGACUCCUGCCCGGUGCUGGAAGGUUAAGGGGAAGGGUUAGUUUCGGCGAAGCCUUGAACUUAAGCCCCAGUAAACGGCGGUGGUAACUAUAACCAUCCUAAGGUAGCGAAAUUCCUUGUCGGGUAAGUUCCGACCUGCACGAAUGGAGUAACGAUUUGGGCGCUGUCUCCACCACGAACUCGGCGAAAUUGCAUUACGAGUAAAGAUGCUCGUUACGCGCAGCAGGACGGAAAGACCCCGGGACCUUUACUAUAGUUUGGUAUUGGUGAUCGGUGUGACUUGUGUAGGAUAGGUGGGAGACUUUGAAGCUUGGACGCCAGUUCAGGUGGAGUCAUCGUUGAAAUACCACUCUGGUCACUCUGGUUAUCUAACUUAGGUCCAUUAUCUGGAUCAGGGACAGUGCCUGAUGGGUAGUUUGACUGGGGCGGUCGCCUCCUAAA